rnacentral:rRNA from 1 species
UGGCGAACGGGUGAGUAACACGUGGGUGAUCUGCCCUGCACUUCUGGAUAAGCCUGGGAAACUGGGUCUAAUACCGGAUAGGAGCCAUUUUUAGUGUGAUUGUUGGAAAGUUUUUUCGGUGUAGGAUGAGCUCGCGGCCUAUCAGCUUGUUGGUGGGGUAAUGGCCUACCAAGGCGGCGACUGGUAGCCGGCCUGAGAGGGUGGACGGCCACAUUGGGACUGAGAUACGGCCCAG